rnacentral:rRNA from 1 species
CUUAAAUUGAAGAGUUUGAUCAUGGCUCAGAUUGAACGCUGGCGGCAGGCCUAACACAUGCAAGUCGAGCGGCAGCGGAAAGUAGCUUGCUACUUUGCCGGCGAGCGGCGGACGGGUGAGUAAUGUCUGGGGAUCUGCCUGAUGGAGGGGGAUAACUACUGGAAACGGUAGCUAAUACCGCAUAACCUCGCAAGAGCAAAGUGGGGGACCUUCGGGCCUCACGCCAUCGGAUGAACCCAGAUGGGAUUAGCUAGUAGGUGGGGUAAUGGCUCACCUAGGCGACGAUCCCUAGCUGGUCUGAGAGGAUGACCAGCCACACUGGAACUGAGACACGGUCCAGACUCCUACGGGAGGCAGCAGUGGGGAAUAUUGCACAAUGGGCGCAAGCCUGAUGCAGCCAUGCCGCGUGUGUGAAGAAGGCCUUCGGGUUGUAAAGCACUUUCAGCGAGGAGGAAGGGUUAAGUGUUAAUAGCACUGAACAUUGACGUUACUCGCAGAAGAAGCACCGGCUAACUCCGUGCCAGCAGCCGCGGUAAUACGGAGGGUGCAAGCGUUAAUCGGAAUUACUGGGCGUAAAGC